rnacentral:rRNA from 1 species
UACAGAGGGUGCAAGCAUUGUCCGGAUUUACUGGGCGUAAAGUGUUUCGUAGGCGUUUUGGUAAGUUACCCUUUAAAGACCGGGGCUUAACCUCGGGAAAGGGGGUAAUACUGCCAGAAUUGAAAUCUUCUAGGGCUACUGGAACUAUCGGUGUAGGGGUGAAAUCCGUUGAUAUCGAUAGGAACUCCAAGGGCGAAGGCAGGUAGCUGAGAAGUUUUUGACGCUGAGGAACGACAGCUAGGGGAGCGAAAGGG